GCUAUACAUGCAGUAGAACGCUGAAGAGAGGAGCUUGCUCUUCUUGGAUGAGUUGCGAACGGGUGAGUAACGCGUAGGUAACCUGCCUUGUAGCGGGGGAUAACUAUUGGAAACGAUAGCUAAUACCGCAUAACAAUGGAUGACACAUGUCAUUUAUUUGAAAGGGGCAAUUGCUCCACUACAAGAUGGACCUGCGUUGUAUUAGCUAGUAGGUGAGGUAAUGGCUCACCUAGGCGACGAUACAUAGCCGACCUGAGAGGGUGAUCGGCCACACUGGGACUGAGACACGGCCCAGACUCCUACGGGAGGCAGCAGUAGGGAAUCUUCGGCAAUGGGGGCAACCCUGACCGAGCAACGCCGCGUGAGUGAAGAAGGUUUUCGGAUCGUAAAGCUCUGUUGUAAGUCAAGAACGGGUGUGAGAGUGGAAAGUUCACACUGUGACGGUAGCUUACCAGAAAGGGACGGCUAACUACGUGCCAGCAGCCGCGGUAAUACGUAGGUCCCGAGCGUUGUCCGGAUUUAUUGGGCGUAAAGCGAGCGCAGGCGGUUUGAUAAGUCUGAAGUUAAAGGCUGUGGCUCAACCAUAGUUCGCUUUGGAAACUGUCAAACUUGAGUGCAGAAGGGGAGAGUGGAAUUCCAUGUGUAGCGGUGAAAUGCGUAGAUAUAUGGAGGAACACCGGUGGCGAAAGCGGCUCUCUGGUCUGUAACUGACGCUGAGGCUCGAAAGCGUGGGGAGCGAACAGGAUUAGAUACCCUGGUAGUCCACGCCGUAAACGAUGAGUGCUAGGUGUUGGAUCCUUUCCGGGAUUCAGUGCCGCAGCUAACGCAUUAAGCACUCCGCCUGGGGAGUACGACCGCAAGGUUGAAACUCAAAGGAAUUGACGGGGGCCCGCACAAGCGGUGGAGCAUGUGGUUUAAUUCGAAGCAACGCGAAGAACCUUACCAGGUCUUGACAUCCCGAUGCUAUUUCUAGAGAUAGAAAGUUACUUCGGUACAUCGGUGACAGGUGGUGCAUGGUUGUCGUCAGCUCGUGUCGUGAGAUGUUGGGUUAAGUCCCGCAACGAGCGCAACCCCUAUUGUUAGUUGCCAUCAUUCAGUUGGGCACUCUAGCGAGACUGCCGGUAAUAAACCGGAGGAAGGUGGGGAUGACGUCAAAUCAUCAUGCCCCUUAUGACCUGGGCUACACACGUGCUACAAUGGUUGGUACAACGAGUUGCGAGUCGGUGACGGCGAGCUAAUCUCUUAAAGCCAAUCUCAGUUCGGAUUGUAGGCUGCAACUCGCCUACAUGAAGUCGGAAUCGCUAGUAAUCGCGGAUCAGCACGCCGCGGUGAAUACGUUCCCGGGCCUUGUACACACCGCCCGUCACACCACGAGAGUUUGUAACACCCGAAGUCGGUGAGGUAACCUUUGGAGCCAGCCGCCUAAGGUG
rnacentral:rRNA from 1 species